rnacentral:rRNA from 1 species
GACGAACGCUGGCGGCGUGCUUAACACAUGCAAGUCGAACGGUGAAGCGCCUUCCUUUUUGGUGGGUGUGGAUGAGUGGCGAACGGGUGAGUAACACGUGAGUAACCUGCCCCCUUCUUCUGGAUAACCGCAUGAAAGUGUAGCUAAUACGGGAUAUUCUGGGUCUGUCGCAUGAUGGGUCUGGGAAAGAUAUUGUUUCGGUGGGGGAUGGGCUCGCGGCCUAUCAGCUUGUUGGUGGGGUGAUGGCCUACCAAGGCGGUGACGGGUAGCCGGCCUGAGAGGGUGGACGGUCACACUGGGACUGAGACACGGCCCAGACUCCUACGGGAGGCAGCAGUGGGGAAUAGUGAACAAUGGGCGCAAGCCUGAUGCAGCGACGCCGCGUGAGGGAUGGAGGCCUUCGGGUUGUGAACCUCUUUCGCCAGUGAAGCAGGCCUGCCUCGUUUGUGGGUGGGUUGACGGUAGCUGGAUAAGAAGCGCCGGCUAACUACGUG